rnacentral:rRNA from 1 species
GAUGAACGCUGGCGGCGUGCCUAAUACAUGCAAGUCGAGCGAACGGACGAGAAGCUUGCUUUUCUGAUGUUAGCGGCGGACGGGGGAGUAAAACGUGGAUAACCUACCUAUAAGACUGGGAUAACUUCGGGAAACCGGGGGUAAUACCGGAUAAUAUUUUGAAACGCAUGGUUCAAAAGUGAAAGACGGUCUUGCUGUCACUUAUAGAUGGAUCCGCGCUGCAUUAGCUAGUUGGUAAGGUAACGGCUUACCAAGGCAACGAUGCAUAGCCGACCUGAGAGGGUGAUCGGCCACACUGGAACUGAGACACGGUCCAGACUCCUACGGGAGGCAGCAGUAGGGAAUCUUCCGCAAUGGGCGAAAGCCUGACGGAGCAACGCCGCGUGAGUGAUGAAGGUCUUCGGAUCGUAAAACUCUGUUAUUAGGGAAGAACAUAUGUGUAAGUAACUGUGCACAUCUUGACGGUACCUAAUCAGAAAGCCACGGCUAACUACGUG